GAGGGUGUUUUUUGCUCAGUGAGGGUGUUUUUUGCUCGGUGGGGCUGUUUGUUGCUCGGUGGGGUUGUUUUUUGCUCAGUGGGGCUGUUUUUUGGUCAGUGGGGUUGGUUUUUGCUCAGUGGGGUUGUUUUUUGCUCGGUGGGGUUGUUUUUUGGUCAGUGGGGUUGUUUUUUGCUCAGUGGGGCUGUUUUUUGGUCAGUGGGGUUGUUUUUUGGUCAGUGGGGCUGUUUUUUGGUCAGUAGGGCUGUUUUUUCUCAGUGGUGUUUUUACUCGGUGGGGUUGUUUUUUGCUCGGUGGGGCUGUUUUUUGCUCGGUGGGGUUGUUUUUUGCUCGGUGGGGCUGUUUUUUGGUCGGUGGGGUUGUUUUUUGCUCAGUGGGGUUGUUUUUUGCUCGGUGGGGUUGUUUUUUGGUCGGUGGGGCUGUUUUUUGGUCGGUGGGGUUGUUUUUUGGUCAGUAGGGCUGUUUUUUCUCAGUGGUGUUUUUACUCGGUGGGGUUGUUUUUUGCUCGGUGGGGCUGUUUUUUGCUCAGUGGGGUUGUUUUUUGCUCGGUGGGGCUGGUUUUUGCUCGGUGGGGCUGGUUUUUGGUCAGUAGGGCUGUUUUUUCUCAGUGGUGUUGUUUUUGCUCAGUGGGGCUGUUUUUUGCUCGGUGGGGUUGUUUUUUGCUCGGUGGGGCUGUUUUUUGCUCGGUGGGGUUGUUUUUUGCUCGGUGGGGCUGUUUUUUGCUCAGUGGGGUUGUUUUUUGCUCGGUGGGGCUGUUUUUUGCUCAGUGGGGUUGUUUUUUGCUCGGUGGGGCUGUUUUUUGCUCGGUGGGGCUGUUUUUUGCUCGGUGGGGCUGUUUUUUGCUCGGUGGGGUUGGUUUUUGCUUGGUGGGGUUGGUUUUUGCUCAGUGGUGUUGUUUUUUGCUCGGUGGGGCUGUUUUUUGCUCGGUGGGGCUGUUUUUUGCUCAGUGGGUCUGUUUUUUGCUCGGUGGGGCUGUUCUUGCUCAGCAGCCCGAUUCUCCCAUUUCUCAUGCCUGGUUUCAAUGCCUACAGUGACACACAGUGGCGAUGGG
rnacentral:lncRNA from 1 species